CAUCUAGUCCAACACCCCUGCAAUGAACGGAGACAGCUACAGCUAGAUCAGGGUACUCAAAGCCCCAUCCAGCCUGACCUUGACUGUCUCCAAGAAUGGGGCUCCCACCACCUCUCUGGGCAACCUGUUCCAGUGCCUCACCACCCUUAUUGCAAAGAACUUCUUCCUUAUAUCCAGUAUAAAUCUUCCCCUUAUAGCUUGAAACCACUUCCUCUUGUCCCAUCACAAUAAACCCUUCUAAAGAGUCUGUCCCCUUCUUUCCUGUAGCUCCCCUUUAGAUAUGAAUGGCUGCUCUCAGGUCUCCCUGGAGCCUUCUCUUCUCCAGGCUGAACAGCCCCUGCUCUUUCAGCAUGUCCUCUUAGGAGACGUGUUCCAUCCCUUGGAUCAUUUUUGUGACCCUCCUCUGGAUGCACUCCAACAGGUCAGUGCCUCUCCUGUACAAAGGACGCCACAUCUGGACCCAGUACUCCAGGUGAGGCCUUGCCAGCGCAGAGUAGAGGACAGGACCAUCUCCCUGGCCCUGCUCACCAUGCUUCUUUCGAAUGGCAUCCCGUCCCUCAAGUGUGUCAGCUGCAUUUUCAUGGAGGAUGUUUAGAGAGAAGAGAUUAUUUCAUCUGCGGGUGUCAUCUACGUAUGAAUGGAGCAUUUUUCUGCUGGUGAUGUUUUCAUAUUUCAAAUUCUGCCCUCUCACCUUUGGAGAACAAGAGGUAAGUCUGCGUACGGUUCACCAUCCAGCUCUGUUCUGCUUGCUCACUGAUGGCUAUUUCAUUGUUUUUGCAGAAACAAUGUCCAUCAAGUUGUACUCAAGGGAUGAUUGGUCUUCACAGACCAUUUAAGCACAUCGCUUUGUUUCAGAAUGAUACUGACUAGAACAGUUCACAGGCAGUUAUAGUCCUGAUCCAAAUGGAAGGACAGCCGAGACUUGACCCUGGCAUAAAGCAAAGCACAUCCUACAGCAAGAAGUGGUAACCAUAGCAAAAAAACUAAAGGGG
rnacentral:lncRNA from 1 species